AGGCAGCAGUGGGGAAUAUUGCACAAUGGGGGAAACCCUGAUGCAGCCAUGCCGCGUGUGUGAAGAAGGCCUUCGGGUUGUAAAGCACUUUCAGUAGGGAGGAAGGUAGUGUAGUUAACACCUGCAUUAUUUGACGUUACCUACACGAAGAAGCACCCGGCUAACUCCGUGCCAGCAGCCGCGGUAAUACGGAGGGUGCGAGCGUUAAUCGGAAUUACUGGGCGUAAAGCGCAUGCAGGCGGCCUGUUAAGUCAGAUGUGAAAGCCCGGGGCUUAACCUCGGAAUUGCAUUUGAAACUGGCAGGCUAGAGUCUUGUAGAGGGGGGUAGGAAUUUCAGGUGUAGCGGUGAAAUGCGUAGAGAUCUGAAGGAAUACCAGUGGCGAAGGCGGCCCCCUGGACAAAGACUGACGCUCAGAUGCGAAAGCGUGGGGAGCAAACAGGAUUAGAUACCCUGGUAG
rnacentral:rRNA from 1 species